rnacentral:rRNA from 1 species
CCCUUAGAUGUUCUGGGCUGCACACGUGCUACACUGGCAGGUUCAGCGAGCUUCAUGCCCUGAUCUGAAAGGAAUGGGAAAUCUUUUCAAAACCUGCCGUGCUUGGGAUAGAUGUUUGCAAUUAUUCAUCUUCAACGAGGAUUGCCUUGCAAGCGCACGUCAUCAGCGUGCAUUGAAUACGACCCUGUAUUCUGUACACACCGCCCGUCGCUCCUACCGAUUGAAGUUUUCGGUGAGUUGACAGGAGGAUUUUUUUGAAACUGGUUCGCCAGUGGAUUUUAGAUCCAAAUGCCAACGAAUCGGUGGCUUUAGAGGAAGGAGAAGUCGUAACA